GGCUACACACGUGCUACAAUGGGUAGAACAGAGAGUUGCAAAGCCGUGAGGUGAAGCUAAUCUCAGAAAACUAUUCUUAGUUCGGAUUGUACUCUGCAACUCGGGUACAUGAAGUUGGAAUCGCUAGUAAUCGCGAAUCAGCAAUGUCGCGGUGAAUACGUUCUCGGGUCUUGUACACACCGCCCGUCACACCACGAGAGUUGGUUGCACCUGAAGUAGCAGGCCUAACCGUAAGGAGGGAUGCUCCGAGGGUGUGAUUAGCGAUUGGGGUGAAGUCGUAACAAGGUAUCCGUACGGGAACGU
rnacentral:rRNA from 1 species